AGCAAAGAACUCAUAGCCCGAAUAGUCCCUUCAUAAAUAGUAUAAUUCAACUAUAUAGCUUUGAAUUUAUUAAAUCUUCCUCAUCUAUUAUAUCAGCGGUGACAUAGAUGAUUAAUAUUCACCCUUGCGAAGCAAGAGGACAUGGCUAACAACAAUAUAUCAUACUACUACUAUCAAUUUGGUGUCAUUGCCUCCGCGUAGUGACAACAAUGGCCAACAUCGGUACAAAUGCAUCUCUGGGGAUUCCAACCAUGAGAGGCACAUUGCCACAAGCACCCAUUAACUGAGCAAGCUUUUUUCAUCUUUACACACCCAAGAAUAGGUCCAAGGUCCAUUGUACCUGCAAAUCAGACACAACAUCAGGACGCAGUUAGAACUGAUGUACUGUUUGAUUUAAACAAAAUAGAAGAGACAGACCAACAAAAUAAACUAAUGAAUACGUAGGAGAAAAUAUUUAUGUAUGCUCCUACAUACCUUCUGCAUGGCAAGACAAGAAAGUGCUGGAAAUGACAAUAAGAGCAAGCAAGCACAAUGCCCUUGUGUUCUUCAUAAGACCAAUCACUAGUAGUUGGCUAUUAU
rnacentral:lncRNA from 1 species